ensembl:lncRNA
GGUACCGGUACAGAGUCAAUGUGGAGGCUAUAUACAGAGGGUACCAGUACAGAGUCAAUGUGGAGGCUAUAUACAGAGGGUACCGGUACAGAGUCAAUGUGGAGGCUAUAUACAGAGGGUACCGGUACAGAGUCAAUGUGGAGGUUAUAUACAGGGUGUUACGGUACAGAGUCAAUGUGGAGGCUAUAUACAGGAGGUACCGGUACAGAGUCAAUGUGGAGGCUAUAUACAGGAGGUACCGGUACAGAGUCAAUGUGGAGGUUAUAUACAGGGUGUUACGGUACAGAGUCAAUGUGGAGGCUAUAUACAGGAGGUACCGGUACAGAGUCAAUGUGGAGGCUAUAUACAGGG